rnacentral:lncRNA from 1 species
AAAUUGUGAUACAGGCCCAGAAGGAAAACUACAGCUGGUUUUGAGAGAGAACAACUUAGGAGGACAGCAUUGAGACAGCGGGGAGGCCUUUCAGAGAUAACGUUUACACCCUAGCAUAAUCAGUCAAUCAACCACCUGACUAAUCCAGGCCAUAGAGGUGGUCAGUUUCACCUGCUGUGAUUUGCAUACUAAAGAGGUUUCCCUCACUUUUCCCAGCCAUCAAGGAAAGUGCUGCAGCCCACGGCCAUUUUGCCAUUUGCUGAGAGAAAAGCCCCUGAGUUUCCAGAUUUUGGUGACCUCAGAGUAAAAGGGGCUAGUCCGGAGAAGGAAGUUUGGUUUUGAUUGACAAGUCUCAAGAGAAAGGAAAUUCCUUUACCUCCCCUUCUGUUGGAGCAGCCACUUGUCACUUCUGGAGCUGUUGCUGGUCCCUGAGAUGGCCCACAGAGCUCCCUCCAGGCAGAGUGGAGGACCUCGCUGUUCCUGGUGAUGCAACAGGGAAAUGUCAAACCUGGGAUUGGAAGGAAACUCACUGCGGUUGUGAAGAAAGUUGGUGAAACUCCAGCAACUUCGACCACUGGGCUGCUGCUGAGUCCUGGGACUUAAGGUCAAAUUCUAGAAAAGAACUGUGUGGGAUGUACAACCUGGCCUGGUCUCUCGGGUUCUCGGCUGCUGCUGGCAACAUUCUCUGGGUUUGUACUCACAUGAGAGCA